UACGUAGGGUGCGAGCGUUAAUCGGAAUUACUGGGCGUAAAGUGUGCGCAGGUGGCCGCGCAAGUCGAGUGUGAAAUCCCCGAGCUUAACUUGGGAAUUGCGCUCGAAACUACGUGGCUCGAGUGUGGCAGAGGAAGGUGGAAUUCCACGUGUAGCGGUGAAAUGCGUAGAUAUCUGGAGGAACACCGGUGGCGAAGGCGACAUCCUGGACCGGUAUUGACGCUGAGGCGCGAAAGCCAGGGGAGCAAACGGG
rnacentral:rRNA from 1 species